rnacentral:rRNA from 1 species
UUUUCCGAGAGGUGGUGCAUGGCCGUCGUCAGUUCGUACCGUAAGGCGUUCUCUUAAGUGAGAUAACGAACGAGACCCUCGCCGCUAAUUGCUAGUGUUCUCUCUGGAGGGCACGCACAUUAACGGGACCGCUGUCGCUAAGACAGAGGAAGGAGAGGUCAACGGUAGGUCCGUAUGCCCCGAAUCUCCUGGGCUACACGCGCGCUACAAAGGUUGGGACAAUGGGCUCCGACAUCGAAAGGUGAAGGCAAUCUCGAAACCCAAUCGUAGUUCGGAUUGAGGGUUGUAACUCACCCUCAUGAAGCUGGAUUCCGUAGUAAUCGCUUGUCAACAUCAAGCGGUGAAUAUGCCCC